rnacentral:snRNA from 1 species
AGCUUUGUGCAGUGGCAGCAUCGUAGCCAAUGAGGUUUAUCCGAGGCGCGAUUAUUGCUAAUUGAAGAUUCCUUUAAACUAG